rnacentral:rRNA from 1 species
AUUGAACGCUGGCGGCAGGCUUAACACAUGCAAGUCGAGCGGGGUGAUGGUGCUUGCACUAUCACUUAGCGGCGGACGGGUGAGUAAUGCUUAGGAAUCUGCCUAUUAGUGGGGGACAACAUCUCGAAAGGGAUGCUAAUACCGCAUACGUCCUACGGGAGAAAGCAGGGGAUCACUUGUGACCUUGCGCUAAUAGAUGAGCCUAAGUCGGAUUAGCUAGUUGGUGGGGUAAAGGCCUACCAAGGCGACGAUCUGUAGCGGGUCUGAGAGGCUGAUCCGCCACACUGGGACUGAGACACGGCCCAGACUCCGACGGGAGGCAGCAGUGGGGAAUGUUGGACAAUGGGGGGAACCCUGAUCCAGCCAUGCCGCGUGUGUGAAGAAGGCCUUAUGGUUGUAAAGCACUUUAAGCGAGGAGGAGGCUCUUUUGGUUAAUACCCAAGAUGAGUGGACGUUACUCGCAGAAUAAGCACCGGCUAACUCUGUGCCAGCAGCCGCCGCGG